CGUAGGGUGCAAGCGUUAAUCGGAAUUACUGGGCGUAAAGCGUACGCAGGCGGCUUUGCAAGACAGGUGUGAAAUCCCCGGGCCUAACCUGGGAACUGCAUUUGUGACUGCAUGGCUAGAGUCUGUCAGAGGGGGGUGGAAUUCCACGUGUAGCAGUGAAAUGCGUAGAGAUGUGGAAGAACACCGAUGGCGAAGGCAGCCCCCUGGGAUGAGACUGACGCUCAUGUACGAAAGCGUGGGGAGCAAACAGGAUUAGAUACCCUGGUAGUCCACGCCCCAAACGAUGUCUACUAGUUGUCGGGGGGUAACUCCUUCGGUAACGCAGCUAACGCGUGAAGUAGACCGCCUGGGGAGUACGGUCGCAAGAUUA
rnacentral:rRNA from 1 species